rnacentral:rRNA from 1 species
UGGGGAAUCUUCCGCAAUGGACGAAAGUCUGACGGAGCAACGCCGCGUGAGUGAUGACGGCCUUCGGGUUGUAAAGCUCUGUUAAUCGGGACGAAAGGCUUUCUUGCGAAUAGUUAGAAGGAUUGACGGUACCGGAAUAGAAAGCCACGGCUAACUACGUGCCAGCAGCCGCGGUAAUACGUAGGUGGCAAGCGUUGUCCGGAAUUAUUGGGCGUAAAGCGCGCGCAGGCGGAUUGGUCAGUCUGUCUUAAAAGUUCGGGGCUUAACCCCGUGAAGGGGAUGGAAACUGCCAAUCUAGAGUAUCGGAGAGGAAAGUGGAAUUCCUAGUGGUAGCGGUGAAAUGCGUAGAAUAUUAGGAAGAACACCAGUGGCGAAGGCGACUUUCUGGACGAAAACUGACGCUGAGGCGCGAAAGCCAGGGGAGCGAACGGGAUUAGAUACCCCGGUAGUCCUGGCCGUAAACGAUGGGUACUAGGUGUAGGAGGUAUCGACCCCUUCUGUGCCGGAGUUAACGCAAUAAGUACCCCGCCUGGGGAGUACGACCGCAAGGUUG